CAGAGCCAUCUGUCGUCUGGGGGAGAACUGGAGCCCACGGAGGAGGCAGGCACAGAGCAUCGGAGUGAUCUGGGGGCUUCAUAGAGCCUUGCUCAACAGGGGCACACCACACACACCUUGUCAAAGCCCAGGGAGGGAAGGAGAGAAAAAUCAGCUUUGAAAACAGUGCGCCAGGGGGCUUGGAUUUCUCGCUGUGCGUGGAGGCACGGGCACUGCCAGCCCAUCUCACAGUUAUGCCUGCAGCCGUGGAGUGUCAGGAUCAAUGCCUGUCACUUAACUAGGCCAUGAACUCUUCAAGGGCAUGUGUUGUUCUUAUAGACCACCGUGUCCCCAGGGCCCAGCGCCUGGCAC